GAAUCCCGUCUUUGACAUGGACUACCGGUGCAUUUGUGGUAUGCUCUCAAAGAGUCGAGUUGUUUGGGAAUGCAGCUCAAAAUGGGUGGUAAAUGCCAUCUAAAGCUAAAUAUUGGCGAGAGACCGAUAGCGAACAAGUACCGGGAGGGAAAGAUGAAAAGAACUUUGGAAAGAGAGUUAAACAGUACGUGAAAUUGCUGAAAGGGAAACGCUUGAAGUCAGUCGCGUUGACUUGAAAUCAACCCUGUUUCUGCUGGGUGUACUUUCUUGUCAAUGGGUCAGCAUCAAUUUUGACCGUUGGAUAAAGUUAUUGGGAAUGUGGCAUCUUUGGAUGUGUUAUAGCCCAUAGUCGCAUACGGUGGUUGGGAUUGAGGAGCUCAGCACGCCGCAAAGGCCGGGUUUCGACCACGUUCGUGCUUAGGAUGCUGGCAUAAUGGCUUUAAUCGACCCGUCUUGAAACACGGACCAAGGAGUCUAACAUGCCUGCGAGUGUUUGGGUGGAAAACCCAUGCGCGCAAUGAAAGUGAAAGUUGAGAUCCCCUUCAAACAGGGAGCAUUGACGCCCGGACCAGAGCUUCUGUGACGGAUCCGCGGUAGAGCAUGCAUGUUGGGACCCGAAAGAUGGUGAACUAUGCCUGAAUAGGGUGAAGCCAGAGGAAACUCUGGUGGAGGCUCGUAGCGAUUCUGACGUGCAAAUCGAUCGUCAAAUUUGGGUAUAGGGGCGAAAGACUAAUCGAACCAUCUAGUAGCUGGUUCCUGCC
rnacentral:rRNA from 1 species